GUAGUCCUUGCCGUAAACUAUGUAUACUUGGUGUAGCUGGACUCAACCCCGGCUGUGCCGUAGCUAACGCGUUAAGUAUACCGCCUGGGGAGUACACUCGCAAGGGUGAAACUCAAAAGAAUUGACGGGGACCCGCACAAGCAGUGGAGCAUGUGGUUUAAUUCGAUGCAACGCGAAAAACCUUACCCAGACUUGACAUGCAGAUGACCGCUCUAGAAAUAGGGCUUUCCUUCGGGACAUCUGCACAGGUGCUGCAUGGCUGUCGUCAGCUCGUGCCGUGAGGUGUUGGGUUAAGUCCCGCAACGAGCGCAACCCUUAUCAUUAGUUGCCAACAUUUAAGGUGGGAACUCUAAUGAGACUGCCUGGGUUAACCAGGA
rnacentral:rRNA from 1 species